rnacentral:lncRNA from 1 species
AGUAAAUAUAAACUAGAUACUAAGAGGUAUCAGGAGAGCUAAGUAGCAGGAAUGUCAGUUUGCAGCCUCUUUAAGCAGCCUCUACUCAUACGUUAUCUUUUGGCUCUUCUACCAGCUUGCUCAGGGUGUGAACUGACCUCCAUGUCACUGCUUUAUUUACCUUUCUGUAUAUACAAUUACAGCAGGCAGGAGGAGCUGGCUGCUUUAACUCUGAGCUUACUGGCAGCUCCAGCACUCACAGACACUCAGCUUGUGAAACCUGGGGGAAACAGGAGCCCAUGAACGAAUCACACUGACUGAUAUAAGCAAGGUCAGACCUUUGCUGGUUAUCUCACACUGUUGGAGAAUAUCAUGCCUGGAAGGACAGAGUGCUCUGCCAGUGCAGAUGUGCGUGCCAUUUUCAGAGCCUGAAGACCUACCUUCAAGAGGCCCUGGCACUCCUGAAACCCAAGUCUGGCAGAGAGGAAGCCUCGAUACAGCUCUCCUGGUUGCCAAGAACUGCUCUGAUUCCCUGGCAGAGGGAAAUCGUGGCUCUCCAGACAUCAGAGCUCUGAGUGAGGGCUUCAGCAUCACACAGAAGACAGCAAAGCCCUGCUCGCCUCCAGGGGGUUGUGAUGUAUUCUGGUGUUACCUGCUGGAAAGUGGGAGAGCUGAGAGCACAUCUCACCAGCAGGCCACGUGCUGACAGAUGGCGUACAGACCUCAGCAGAUGUCCAUAGCACCGGCUUGGAUCUCUUGUGAAAGCACCUCCAGUUGCACGAGGACUGGUGGUGAGUUCAAGUGCAAGCCGGAGCACACCAGAAAGGGCACCAGGCUGCGGCUGUUCCAAUGCUCCCAACAAGAAGCACCACCUCCCUUUGACAGCCACUAGAACCAUGCACAGAGCUACAAGGACCGCACACUCGUUUUUGCACCGAUGAAGCGUUCGGCAAAAACCUCCUCAAGUAACACUUCCUCUAGAUGUAAGCAUCUCUGAAGUACAAAGUCAUUCCCUCAGCCAUCACUGAAGAGCAGAUGGACAGAAAAAAGCACGUGCAAUAGAGAUGGUGACUGCUAAGGGGUCCGGAUCACGGCCGUGGUGCUGACAGACGAGAGGGGACAAGAAGAUGAUUCCACCUCUGAGCUCAACACCGGAGAGCUACGUCACGUCCCGCCCCGCACAGCCCCGUCAGACCAAGCCUCUGCCCUCUGAGCAGCGUGAUGUACUCGGGCACCACAAGGAGGUUGCAUCAUUACGUGCUGAAGCAAUGUGGAAAGCAACAGCCCCAGAAGCGAGCAGCAGCUUCUCUCCCCACGCGCCCUCCCGAGUCUCGUAUGGGGGUGUGUCAGCAGAUGAAUCAGGCCUACUUACAAAGAAUUACAGCAAACAAUGGCUUCAUGGGUAAAGCGUAACACAAAGCUGCUUCGUCAAACUGACUCCAUAAUGCCCAGCCAGGGAAAUGUUUAAUGAAUCUGUGAGUUUUACAGCAGUAAGUUCUGGCAAUGCUGAAGAUCGCUGUAAGGCACGGGGUGCAGGAGCCAGGGAAGUCUUUUCUGGCAAGUUACCUGUUGCUCUGAGAGCUGAAAUAGCCUGUGGGACAUUUAAGAAAAGGGAGCUCUUGCCUUUUUCCAGAUAUCUCAUUUGGGUUGCAAGACAAAAAAGACAGAAAGGCCCAAUAAGAAUGACACCCCAGAGUGCGCGGUCUGCAAUUUAACACACACAUUUGAGCUCCAAACACAUUCAGCCCCUGCAAGAGGGAAAUGAAAAAAGAAAUUACUUUGGAAACGUCUCUCUUAGGUACCGCAUAGCACCUGCACAGCUGUAUAGCAGAGUGCUGCAUAGCCCAGUGUAUUUUCU